GGAGUAUGGACCUGAGGGCUCACAGUGUGUUGUGAAAUCUAUGAAUGUAUUGUAAUGUUUUUAAAAUUGUACAAACUGCCUUAAUCUCACUGGACCCCAGGAAGAGUAGCUGCUUCCUCGGCAGCAGCUAAGGGGGAUUCAUAAUAAAUACAAAAAUACAAAUACACAGUGAUCUUUUCAUGUAGAGUAAAGAUCCCCUUUUGAUCACAAAGGGGGAAAAAACACAAUAAUCUCUGGCUCCCACAGACAUACAAUGUGGGAAUGUUAUUCAUCCCUACUAGACCUUUCAGUGCCAUUCAAAACUUCUGUUGGUCAGCAGUAAUUGUGCCCACUGCCCCUGUACCAGUAGUCAUUCUCACCCUAUUUACGCUUAGCACUGCCCACUCCUCACCUACGGGUUGCCUUGGCCAGAAGCAUCUUGAAGGUGUUAUUAUUCUUUGAAUAGACUAUCUCCUGUCUUGGGCUUGACCUCUGAAGCUGACCUGAGAUUCCUCUGUACUGAAGAUGACUUUAAAGAGACGACUGCUGUCCAUUUUGUUGUGUUGUGUCUACUGUGUCGCUUCGCUCUUCUGCUUGAACCCCAACCGCAACAACUGUGGCUCCAUCAGCGCUCGGAAUCUCAUGACAGUUGCCCAGCAGCUGUACCAACGAGUCAUGAGGCUAAUGCGCACCACUCUCUGAUCCUAUGGAGCCGGAGUUGAGUCCCUCAACACUAAUCAUCACCAGGACUGAGACACUCUCCUGCCUUACCCUGUCCAUACAAUGGAGAUGACCUGCAGAGCACCUGCCAUCGACAGAGCAAGAGGACGAAAAGCUCUCAUUGCAGUUCACCGUAAUAAAGCAGGAGAUAGUUUAAAAAAAUGUCAAUGUUUUAUUGAUGCAAAUAGAUUUUGUUGAGAUCCUAGUGGGCCUUCACUGCAUAAGCGUUGUGUUAGUGCCCCGAUUUCCCUGCAUUAUAAUGUAAGUGCUGGAAAAGCCGUUUGCAGGAUAAUUCAAAGAUGUCAUUCAUUUCAUGCCCUCUUGUGGAAAACUGAUCAGUUAUUUCUGCAUGAUAAAAAAUUGUAUGCUUUCAGUGAGCUUCAAUGCUAUCCCUGGACAUGGAAAAUAUUCCCUGCUGGAAUUGAUGUGAUUGAGUUUAGUUAAAUCUACUACAUGAAUGCAUAUAGUGCAGUAUGUCUUCAUAGAAUAAUACGAAAAAAUGUUCCUUGUGCAAAUUAUGGGAAGGCUGUUUAAUAAAUUUGUACCACUUGAUUAGCUAAAUGUUAUAACAGUUGAGUCUCUUGUAAUUAAUGCUGUAUCAAAACUGAUAUAAUAAACUUUACAUUUGUUUUUCAA